rnacentral:lncRNA from 1 species
UUUAUAGUAUCAAAAUAUUUACUCGUCAUUGACAUUUCAGAGGCUAAAGUUGUCAAGGAGGAAGCUAAACCAGCUCCUGUAAAGAAAGAGGCUGAAGUCAUCAAAGAUGUUAAACCAGCCCAUGAGAAGAGAGAGGUCAUCGAGGAGAAAGUUAAACCAGCUCCUGUAAAGAAAGAGCCUGAAGUUGUCAAAGAGAAACCAGCACCUCCAAAGAAAGCUGAGGUUCCAAAGGAAAAGGCAAAGCCAGUCCCAGAAAAGAAAGCACCUGAAAUAAUCAAAGAAAAACCAAAGCCAGCUCCAAAGAAAGAAGCUGAAGUCAUCAAAGAGAAAGUAAAACCAGCCCCUGAGAAGAAAGAGGCUGAAGUCAUUAAGGAGAAAGUAGCUCCUGUAAAGAAAGUUGAGGUUCCAAAGGAAAAGGAAAAACCAGUUUCUGAAAAGAAAGAACCUGAAAUAACCAAAGAAAAACCCAAACCGGUGCCAAAGAAGGGUAAAUAAACAGUUUUUCCACUGGCCUUUUGUAAGAUAAUGCUAAUCAUUUGCAUUUGUCUAUAUUAUUCAUUUAUUUCAAUUUUAAAUAUAUAUAUAUUUUAGAGGCUGAAGUCAUCAAAGAGAAAGUUAAACCAGCUCCUGAGAAGAAAGGUUUGAUUUGCUGUAUUAAGAAUUAAAUUACCAUUUUCUGUAACAACAUGUAUGAUUAAACAUUAUGAUGAUUUUAGAGCCUGAAGGCAUUAAAGAAAAAGUUAAACCAGCUCUUGAGAAAAAAGGUGAGUUCAUUUUGAUAUUUUAUCUCAGUGGUUUUAAAGAUAAUAUUUUUAAAAAAAAAACUUCAGCAAUCACCACAUUGUCAUUUCAGAGGCUGAAGUCAAGGAGAAAGCAAAACCAGC